rnacentral:rRNA from 1 species
UACGUAGGGGGCUAGCGUUGUCCGGAAUCAUUGGGCGUAAAGAGCGUGUAGGCGGUCCGGUAAGUCCGUUGUGAAAGUCAGGGGCUCAACCCUUGAAUGCCGGCGGAUACUGUCGGGCUAGAGUCCGGAAGAGGCAAGUGGAAUUCCCGGUGUAGCGGUGAAAUGCGCAGAUAUCGGGAGGAACACCCGUAGCGAAGGCGGCACUCUGGGCCGUGACUGACGCUGAGGAGCGAAAGCGUGGGGAGCAAACAGG